GACGAACGCUGGCGGCACGCUUAACACAUGCAAGUCGAACGAGAGAAGAGAAGCUUGCUUUUCUGAUCUAGUGGCGGACGGGUGAGUAACACGUGAGCAAUCUGCCUUUCAGAGGGGGAUACCGAUUGGAAACGAUCGUUAAUACCGCAUAACAUAAUUGAACCGCAUGAUUUGAUUAUCAAAGAUUUAUCGCUGAAAGAUGAGCUCGCGUCUGAUUAGCUAGUUGGUAAGGUAACGGCUUACCAAGGCGACGAUCAGUAGCCGGACUGAGAGGUUGAUCGGCCACAUUGGGACUGAGACACGGCCCAGACUCCUACGGGAGGCAGCAGUGGGGAAUAUUGCACAAUGGAGGAAACUCUGAUGCAGCGAUGCCGCGUGAGGGAAGAAGGUUUUAGGAUUGUAAACCUCUGUCUUCAGGGACGAAAAAAGACGGUACCUGAGGAGGAAGCUCCGGCUAACUACGU
rnacentral:rRNA from 1 species